GGAGCCACCAAAAAUCCUUGGAUAUUAGUUCCAAAGUUUUAUUGUACUCAAAUUUUCAUGUUGUUAGAAAGUCAUGACAAGCUUCAAGAACACGUAAUCGAGCUUUAUCUUCUUGAAUAUAUACACAUCCCUGAAAAUAUAGUAGAUUGUUCUUGAAUUCAAACUUAGAAGUAUUAUGAGACUUUGAAGGAUUUCUCUUAAUAUCAUAAAUAAGAGGAUCAGAAGACAUACUUGACUGAACUUGCUUAAUAAAAGUUGAAUCAA
rnacentral:lncRNA from 1 species